UGAAAGGGGAUGGCGACUCAUGGUCGAGGAGGGAGUGAGCAGACCUCCCUAAAACAACAACUGAUAAGAGGAGGAAUCCUGGGGAAGUGUCGGAGCCAUAAAAUCCAUCCACAGGUUGUAUGUCAUCUAAGAGUCAUUUAAGAAUCACACACGGUUGGAACAGGCGACUCCAAUGCGAGACGGUCCAGAUCGGCAACGACACCCAGUAGAAACGGCGUUGUGGGGGUUUUACGACAUUGUUAGAUAAGCCAGGAGGUGGCCUGGGGUUGAUUAGCAUCACCAAAGGCUAUGUGAAGGGAUGCUUUUACACCUACCUCAACAUGAGGGACUGGGGGAGAACAGAAUACAACUAGAGUAUCUGCCGAUUUGGGAACAUUAUUGCAUGCAGAGAAAAACACAACCAUAAGAUUCCAACCAACAGAGAUGUGUAGAUGACAUAAAUUUAAGGUGUUAAGAAGAACAUACAGUCGUUCUAUCAAUGAAACAACUCACAAAUUGAUUAGAAUGUUUUUAGGAAAACACUAGAUGUUAGAGUUUAGCUACUCAAGUGGCAUUUUUGGGAUAACAGCAGACGAUGGCCAACGCAGGAAGAUCCACCCUGAACUUUUCUUCCUAGAACGAAUGUCCGAUUGGGGAAUCUUGUCCUAAUGGGACCUCCGGUUAGCAGAGCAGUCUGCUCACAGGAACUGAGGUGAUCCGAGGUCCAAGGAGGGAGCGUGAAGCUUAAUCACACGUCUAGGAUGACAGCUACGUGUCAUCUGACCAAACCGCUGACAACAACAGAUGUUCCAACAGAGGAACAUCAAGGAGGAGAAGUAUAGGCACACACAUACAACGAAGGAAUCCACAAACACUGAGCUUAUGUGACACACAAUUUCCAGAUUAGAGAAGGAACGGGAACUGCUGGGACACUUGAUAAACACAUAUGAUAAGAAUGUUCAAACAAACAUACGCCAACGAUAUUACAGUAACAGAAUUUGAGGAUUUUGAGUUCAG
ensembl:lncRNA